GUGCAGAAGGUACAGAGAGAGGGACGGCCCCCUUUGGUGAUAAUUCAUGCCUGCAAUGUAUGUUUCCUAUGCUGAUCCUCCUCAAUUUACUACAAUCCCUCACUAAAUUGAAUUUUUAUGAAUGAUGUAUAUCAUGCCACAUUAUUUUUCAGGCCUCGCGAUAUUUUUUCCAGCAAGCAGUCAGCUUUGUGCAGGAAGAUCUUUUUGUCGGAAGUGAGAGAGGGGGAGUAGGUGUAACAUCCCAAAAUUUCAAACCUUUACAUGUGCAUUGCAUCCAUGAGCAUCAUGCCACAGUUGCAUGUUUGAGUUCAAAUUUUGAAUCACAAAAGGCUUUAAGAGAUUUUGUUUACAUCCCUGUAACCUUUGGAUUUUCAAACCAAUAGGGUUGAUGCAUAAAAAGGGUUUAAUGCAUAUAUAAACUAUCCCAUAAUUUUUGGUUAACUAAUUGGAGUUGAAAAAGUAUUUUAUUCAAACAGAUAUAUAGCCCUAAAGUCAUUUAUAGGGCAAAUGUAUUUUUAUAUAUUUUAUUUUGAAGAGAAACUACUUCCAAAAGUUGUAUCAUGGUAGAACAUGAUUUUACAAAUUUUCUGGAAUUUAUUUGGACCAAUUUGGAGUUCAAACACAAAAGAUAUCAAAGAAAUGAGAAAAACAGAAAAAGAAAAGGCCUAAAAGGAAAAAAAAAAAGGGUAAACCGGACCGGCCCGGCC
rnacentral:lncRNA from 1 species